UUCAAAUUGUGUAGAAAUCCAUGUUGAGCCUAACUCAUAGACUUCAUAUGACCAUGCAAAAGGGAACCUUCAUGAAUAUGUUAUUAGGCACCUGAUCUCAUUGCCAUUCAUCCUUUUUGUGUCCUUGCUUGUUGGAAGAUGUGAAUCUUGUGAUUGGUUCAAACCAGUGGAAAUAUUAGAGAACUGACUUAGAUAUGCAUAGGAUAUUGAAAGGACAGAAAUGUAUGCCUUAAAGUAUUACCAUUAUUAUUAGAUUUAUAAUUUUAAUUUUUUCUUCUUGUUUUAGAAGGGUGAAUUGUUGAGAGGUCUCUGAGACUCGAAGGAAAGUAGAAAGUAAAUGUGUGUAGGUUUCACCAAAAGAUCAGAGAGGGAAAUCCAUUAGCAAAUAAAAGCAAAUAGGAAGAGGACAUUAUUGCAAGCAAAACUGGCAAAAAAAAAAAAAAGGAUCAAGGCCAGAAAUGGUCAAAUGACCCUUCGAAAAGUGAGAAAUGUUUUUAAAAAAGCACAUUGGACCUAUUUUUAUUUUACUGGGGCCAACGGAAAUAGAUAGGAACAUAUGAUCGAAACAGGUGGGAUUUAGUUGUUUUUCAAAAUUUUAACAAGUAAAAAGGGGCAUGUUUUUGGUCCAAUUAGUAGCAUUAAGAUGAGUUUAAUGUUCAGGCUUCCUGGGAUUUGUGCCUUCAAUUUAUACGGUUUGCUGAUAAAGAAGAAAAUCAAUUUCAUUUUAUUCCAUUUCCCAGGGAAAUAGCAAAAAGCUUCGGGAUUUGGGGGCGGUGGGGCUUUUUAAUUAGGACUAUUAUAGAAACACGUUAAAGCACCAAAUAGCAAACCUGAAAAUUAUCUCUCAGGGAUAGAGUGUGGAUGAUGGUUAGGUUUAGAGGCAAAUAAUUAUUUUCAGUCUUCACAGCCCAAGGUGAUCAAAGCCACUUGCUCCUAACCCACACCAUGUGUCAUUGCCCUGCUGGCUCUGAAAUGACAAAUCAAGCUUCAUGAAGUGUGAGCUGCCAAGGCAUCCUCAGAGAGAUGAUGGGGGGCCAGAACAUGUUCGUGGAUAGGGAGGUGCAUGACCACGUAUGCUUCUGCCUUCAGACAGCCAGGCCUCUCAUAGGAGAGGCAGGAAAUGAGACAAGGAAAGAAGCAGCUGAAUCCUGCCUGGCCUUCAGCUGCAUCUCCACCGCAGAGGGCUAGUAGACGAGACCUGGCUGCCUGGAGAACUCCAUGCUCCUAACCUAGAACUAAAAUGGGCAGGAGCGCUUACUAAGUUUAGUUCUAUCUGGAAGCUCUCACCCAAAGCUUUAGCCUCAACAUUCCAGAAUAAGGACAAGACAAGCGUUACCCCCCUAACCGGUGAGAAGUAAGGAAUGUGCAGGUGCAAAAUUUUUUAUUGAUUUAUUUAUUUUAUUUUUUGUGUUUUUGCCUUUUCUAGGACUGCUCCCAUGGCAUAUGGAGGUUCUCAGGCUAGGGGUCGAAUUGGAGCUGUAGCCACCAGCCUACGCCACAGCCACAGCAACUCGAGAUCCAAGCCUCGUCUGCACCCUACACCACAGCUCACGGCAAUGGUGGAUCUUUAACCCACUGAGCAAGGGCAGGGGUUGAACCCACAAUCUCAUGGUUCCUAGUUAGAUUCGUUAACGACUGCGCCACGACGGGAACUCCUGUGCAGGUGCAAGAUAACAUCAACCUCGAAGCUUACAGCAGAAGUAGACCAGAUGAUCUUGCUUACAGCUUUUUAGUCUGGGAACUCAGGGUCAGCCCCCUGUUGGAAGGGUGUGGUAUGUGUGUGUGUGUGUGUGUGCAGGUUUGUGUGCUGUAUAGAGAGACCAACUGCAAAGCACGUUGCCUCAGGCCCAUGAUAAUUUUAGGGGGUCCACAAAAUAUUUAAUUUUUUUUAAUCAGGAGAAAAAUGAAAUAAAGUAAUAAUGAAUAUACAAUUAUGGAUCCCUCCGAGAUUAUAUUUGCCUCCAUAGCAAUGCAAUCUCAAAAUAUUUUGUGAUUUUUUUUUUUUUUUUUUAAAUGAAGGAGCCCAUGAAGGCAAAGUGUUGGGCCCAUGAAAGUCGUAAUGCAGCCCUGACUGACUGGACAACCUUGAGAGAGGCACUGACAGACUAACAGAGAUUGACAGAGGCAAAGACAGAACAGAGAGAGAUGAGACAGGAAGAUACAUGUGGAGUAAAGGACAGAGACAGAGAGAGGGAGAUAAGGAAGGACUUAGCAGGAGGGAGAGACAGGCAGAUAUAUGCAUAUGUAUGUGUACGCGUGCGCGCGCGCACACACACACACACACUCAAACAACUUAAUAGAUACAGUCAGAGGUAUCACAGGGCGUGUUCUGUUAGAAGGGGCCUGCUAUCACCUUAGUGUGGUGUUUUCAGCAUCCUAGGAUCAAACAUGUCUGAAGAGUUACAGGUCUCUCCAACCAUUCCCUUAUCUCCAGCCAUGGAGAAUCAGGUGAGAGAGAAGAGAGGGCCAGGCCUUCUUUUUUCCUGUGUUUCUUGUACACAACCCCGAGAGGGAGGUUUGUGCCCGUUCUUCCUUGGCUUUGAUCUUGGGUUGCACUCUUCCUCGUCAUGGGUGGCCUGAGAUUCAGCGGUCUUUCCCUUCUUCCAAAAAGUGCCAUUGUCAAUACUCGAAAGCCACUGAGCUCAUGGCUGUGCUUCAGCCAAGGCAGAUGGAAUUGCAAAAUUGAGUUGAGGCAAGAAGUGCCCCAGCCUGAGCCCUAGGACUGCUGCCUCAAUUGUGAAGGUACCAGGAGAGUGGGGCAAUUGGAACAUGAAGAGCUUGUCACUGAAUUGAAAAUCACACAGUUUCUUUUCCCUGAAAUUGUCUCUGGAAUAUAGGGUUGGCAGUUGUUUAUAAAAGGCCCAGUAAGAUACACACCAUUUGAAAUGCCCUACAAGCAACCCCAGUGAAAUGAAAUAAUUUACACUAAAAAGUGUAUAUACUUCAAUCUGCUCUGAAUUCUGGUCUUCUAAUCUUGCCAGCAGAUGGUUGUAGGAAGAAAUCAAUAAGAAAGAAAAAAAAGAGAAGUUAUUAAACCGGAACAAGCUCGGCCUUUAUACCUUUCAGGGCCAGAGAGGACGCAGUAGGCAGGGGUAUGGUGCCGGCCUUGAGGAGCAACUGCGUUCAUGUCCUUGGUUGUGAAAAAGUGUUUUUAGGGGAAGUAAUUUCUUAUUUUGCACCAAUGAUCCCAGCAUGUGUCUGUUUGUACGUUCCUUCAUAGCCGCUAUUCAGCAUCAUUAGGGAGAGAAUUUGCUUUGUUAAGACAGUAAGGGUGGUUGAAGUUAUUUAUAAAUUUGCUUUUUGUCAGUUGUAGGUUAUUUUUCUGCCAUUUGUUGACAACAGCAGAGUAUAGGAUGGUGCAUAAAUUCCAUCAGAAAUUAAGUUAUAUGCUCACAUGCAACUGAAGCCUCCUCCCUUCCCAAGCUAACAGCUCUUCUGAUUUUUGAUUCAUUUUAGUAGGUGUGAGAAGCUCAUUUGUUUAGAAGAUGAAUAGUUUAUCUAGGAUCAUCUGGUGGCAGCAGGUUAAUUAAAAAGUGCCUCUGUCAUCUCGAGCCCAAAUUGUGGGUGUUGUAAAAGCCAGCCUGCUUUAUACUGUCCUGUGGGAAAUGUACACAGUGAUGCCCAAAGAGUUUAAGCAUUGUUAACAGUGAGUCCCUUGGGCAAGUCUGUUCUUAUUCCACAUUAUACAGACAUAAAGAGCAUCUGCUAGUUUCCUCUUUCCUGAUUACAGGCACUUUUUAUAAUGCAAUAAAAAAGUGAUUGUUUGCACUUUUGCAAACUGUAGCUGACAACACUAAGUGUACCAUAUUGUCACUGCAAUCUUUGAAGUGGGAAUACUGUUAUUCACUCCAUUUUUAGAUGAAGAAACUGAGGCAUGGAGUUCCCAUUGUGGCUCAGCCGAAAUGAACCUGACUAGUAUCCACGAGGACACAGGUUCGUUCCCUGGCCUCCCUCAGUGAGUUAAGGACCUGGUGUUGCCGUGAGCUGUGGUGUAGGUUGCAGAUGCGUCUUGGAUCCUUUGUUGCUGUGGCUGUGGUGUAGGCAGGCAGCUGUAGCUCUGAUUCAACCCCUAGACUGGGAACCUCCAUAUGCCAUGGGUUCGGCCCUUAAAAAAAAAAAAAAGAAAGGAACCAAGGCACAGAGUUGUUAAGUAAUUUAUCCAAGGCUGCACAGAAGAGCUGGAAUUAGCCAUCAGCCUCUCUUAGGAGCCCUGCUCUUAUUGCCUCCACUCCACUGCUCUUCUCAGAGGUAGCACAGGAAAUUACAUUUCCAGCUCUCUCUUGAGAGGGUAUUGAUUCCUUAUUCGACUGAGGAGGCAGGCUCUUCUGCUUAUGAGGAUUUUUAUCUGCUUUUUAGCCCAUGAGCCUAAGCCAGGACUGUUGUCUAGAAGCUUUGGAGUAAAGGAAAGUGUAAAAUUACUGUGGAAACUCAGAGCUGGUAUGUUGAUUAUUUUAUCCUCUCCAACCUUAUGUCCAGUGUUGAAGUUUUGUUUAGUCCUGUGGUCCAGUUUCUGCUUUCAGACUGAUCAAAACAAAGCUCCCCCUCACCACUCCCAAUAGAUGCCUUGGUCUGCACAGUCUAAACCGCAAACCACAUCAGAUGCCAGUGCCCCAAACAUGCCACCCCAUCAGGCACUCUUUGCUGGCCCCUGGGCAAAGUACCUAGAAGUGGAAGCCCUUAGUCAGGCCUUCCCACCAGGGAACAGGGGACUCAGAUGGAACUGCACACAGGACCAUCAAGUCAACCCCUGCUGCAGAGAACUUCAGAUGGGCAGUGUGCUCUGUAUGUGUGGGGCAGCUCCAACGAGGGAGAAAUCAGAUCUGGCUGAGUAGGUGGGGUUCUCCAAGGAAUUGGUCUUUUCUGAGGUAGGAGGAGACUGGAUUUGAGGUAGACCCUCAAAAGUAGGUUGGACCUGGAUGACCAGAGAGAAGAACAUUGCAUGGGCAGAGGUGUGUGCGUGAGCAUCUGGGAAGGUAAGAGAUGGGCUAUGGCCAGAGGCAGGGAGGGAGCACUGUUUUAGGAGUCUCAGGUGAUGAGAUGGGAAAGGUACAGGUGACCCAGGGAGCUCCCCCACAGGGAGCAGGAGAACAUAAACUUUGCUCAUCGGUAUAUGAAGGCAUGGGGCUCAAAAUCUGAUUUUUGUGUACAGCGUGUGGAACCAGUCUUCGC
rnacentral:lncRNA from 1 species